rnacentral:lncRNA from 1 species
CCACUGCCCUGGUGUUGAAGGGUUGGUAGAGGACCACUCUGAGCCCUUGGCCGGGCCGGCGGGUAUGGAUAGGGAUAAGGGGCCUGACUGUAGUCGAAAGAGACUGAUUGGAGUGAGGCCGAGGAAGGUGAUGCGGGAUAGGAUGUAGGUGAUGGAGGAUAGGAUGUAGGUGAUGGAGGGUAAGUAGUGGAAGAAGGUGCAAGUGAUGGAGGGUAUGCAGAAGAAGGAGGUGAAGCUGAAGAAGGGUAGGGAUAUGGGGCAGGUUGGUAAGGAGGGUAUGAAGUAUAAGGGUAUGGAUAGGGAGCAGGACCAGG